rnacentral:rRNA from 1 species
GACGAACGCUGGCGGCGUGCUUAACACAUGCAAGUCGAACGGAAAGGCCCUGCUUUUGUGGGGUGCUCGAGUGGCGAACGGGUGAGUAACACGUGAGUAACCUGCCCUUGACUUUGGGAUAACUUCAGGAAACUGGGGCUAAUACCGGAUAGGAGCUCCUGCUGCAUGGUGGGGGUUGGAAAGUUUCGGCGGUUGGGGAUGGACUCGCGGCUUAUCAGCUUGUUGGUGGGGUAGUGGCUUACCAAGGCUUUGACGGGUAGCCGGCCUGAGAGGGUGACCGGCCACAUUGGGACUGAGAUACGGCCCAGACUCCUACGGGAGGCAGCAGUGGGGAAUAUUGCACAAUGGGGGGAAGACUGAUGCAGCAACGCCGCGUGCGGGAUGACGGCCUUCGGGUUGUAAACCGCUUUCGCCUGUGACGAAGCGUGAGUAACGGUAAUGGGUAAAGAAGCACCGGCUAACUACGUG